UACGGGGGGAGCAAGCGUUGUUCGGAUUUACUGGGCGUAAAGGGCGCGUAGGCGGCCACCGCAAGUCGAUUGUGAAAUCUCCGGGCUUAACCCGGAAAGGUCAACCGAUACUGCGGGGCUAGAGUGCAGAAGGGGCAACUGGAAUUCUCGGUGUAGCGGUGAAAUGCGUAGAUAUCGGGAGGAACACCUGCGGCGAAGGCGGGUUGCUGGGCUGACACUGACGCUGAAGUGCGAAAGCUAGGGGAGCGAACGGG
rnacentral:rRNA from 1 species